rnacentral:rRNA from 1 species
UACGGGGGGGGCAAGCGUUGUUCGGAGUUACUGGGCGUAAAGAGUGCGUAGGCGGUUUUCUAAGUUUGGUGUGAAAUCUCCCGGCUCAACUGGGAGGGUGCGCCGAAGACUGGAAGGCUUGAGUAUGGGAGAGGUAAGCGGAAUUCCUGGUGUAGCGGUGAAAUGCGUAGAUAUCAGGAGGAACACCGGUGGCGAAGGCGGUUCUCUGGGCAUUACCUGACGCUGAGGAGCGAAAGUGUGGGGAGCGAACAGG